rnacentral:rRNA from 1 species
GACGAACGCUGGCGGCGUGCUUAACACAUGCAAGUCGAACGAUGAAGGAGAGCUUGCUCUCCGGAUUAGUGGCGAACGAGUGAGUAACACGUGACUAACCUGCCCCUUUCUCUGGGAUAACGCUCCGAAAGGAGUGCUAAUACCGGAUACGAACUCUGAACACAUGUUCGGAGUUGGAAAGUUUUUCGGAAAGGGAUGGAGUCGCGGCCUAUCAGCUUGUUGGUGAGGUAACGGCUCACCAAGGCGACGACGGGUAGCCGGCCUGAGAGGGCGACCGGCCACACUGGGACUGAGACACGGCCCAGACUCCUACGGGAGGCAGCAGUGGGGAAUAUUGCACGAUGGGCGAAAGCCUGAUGCAGCGACGCCGCGUGAGGGAUGAAGGUUUUCGGAUUGUAAACCUCUUUCAGUAGGGACGAAGCGAAAGUGACGGUACCUAAAGAAGAAGCACCGGCUAACUACGUGCCAGCAGCCGCCGUAA